rnacentral:rRNA from 1 species
AAUGAACGCUGGCGGCGCGCCUAAUACAUGCAAGUCGAGCGAGAAGACGUAGCAAUACGUUUGUAAAGCGGCGAACGGGUGAGGAAUACAUGGGUAACCUACCCUCGAGUGGGGAAUAACUAGCCGAAAGGUUAGCUAAUACCGCGUACGCUUCUUGGACUUCGGUUCAGGGAGGAAAGCGAUACCGUGGGUAUCGCGCUCUUGGAUGGGCUCAUGUCCUAUCAGCUUGNGGUGAGGUAACGGCUCACCAAGGCUUCGACGGGUAGCUGGUCUGAGAGGACGAUCAGCCACACUGGCACUGCGACACGGGCCAGACUCCUACGGGAGGCAGCAGUAAGGAAUAUUGCGCAAUGGGCGAAAGCCUGACGCAGCGACGCCGCGUGGGGGAUGAAGGUCUUCGGAUUG